rnacentral:rRNA from 1 species
CACUGGGAGAACAUAACUCUCAGCAAUGCCUGCCCAGUGUGAUUAAAAAUCAUAAACGGCCGCCCUAGCGUGAGGGUGCUAAGGUAGCGAAAUUCCUUGCCUUUUAAUUGUAGGCCUGCAUGAAUGGCUUAACGAGGGCUUAACUGUCUCUGGUUUACAGGGUCUAAAUUGGAUUAAAGGUGAAGAUACCUUUAUAUAAAAGUCAGACAAGAAGACCCCGUGCAACUUUCAAAAUCGGUUUAUUGAGAAACUUUAAGAUUUUUAGGUGGGGCGCCUACUGAGUAAUACUAACCUCUGUGUAUGGAAAAAACUUUCAAGUAUAGACCCGGCAAUGCCGAUCAUAGGAGAAGUUACGCCGGGGAUAACAGGCUAAUUCACUAGUAGAGAACGUAUUGGCUAGUGGGAUUGGCACCUCGAUGUUGAAUCAGGGAUGAUACCUUUAAGGCGUAGAAGCUUUGAAAGUGGGUC